GUGUUGCUGAAUUCUUUCAACUUUUGCUUAUCUGUGAAGGUUUUGAUUUCUCCUUCAAUUCUGAAGGAGAGCCUUGCUGGGUAAAGUCAUCUUGGUUGGAGGUUUUCCCCUUUCAUCACGUAAGUAUGUCAUGCCACUCCCUUCUCUCCUGCAGAGUUUCUGUUGAAAAAUCUGCCGACAACCUUAUUGGGGUUCCCUUGUAUGUUACUUGUUUCUUUUCCCUAGCUGCUUUCAAGAUUUUCUCUUUGUCUUUAAUUUUGGUUAGUUUGAUUAAUAUGUGUCUUGGUGUAUUCCUCCUUGGGUUUAUUUUAUGUUGUACUCAUUGUGCUUCCUGGAUUUGAGUGAGCGGUUCCUUUCCUAUGUUAGGGAAGUUUUCAGCUAUUAUCUUUUGGAAUAUUUUUUCUGUCCCUUUCUCUCUCUCUUUUCCUUCUGGCACCCCUAUAAUAUGGAUGUUGGUGUGUUUCACAUUGUCUCAGAGUUCUCUGAGACUGUCUUCAUUUGUUUUCAAUCUUCUUUCUCUUUUCUGUUCUGCAUCUGUAAUUUCCACUAAUCUGUCCUCCACCUCGCUUAUUCGUUCUUCUUCCUCCUGUAUUCUCCUCUUAGAUACUUCUAGUGAAUUUUUUAUUUCAGUGAUUGUAUUUUGCAUCUCUUCUUAAGUUUUAUAUCUUGUAUCUCUUUGCUCAGUGUUUCCUGUAAGUUAUCCAUCUUUGCCUCCAGUUUCUUUCUAAUGUCUUGCAUCAUCUUCAGCAUCGACAAUCUAAAAUCUUUUUCCUGGAUGCUGAGAAUCUCCUCAUCGCUUAGCUGAUUUUCUGGGGUUUUUCCUUUCUCCCUCAUCUGAGUUAUAGUUCUCUGUCUUUUCAUUUUUAUAGGUUUUUGGUGUGGUGACCUUCUUACAGAUAAUAGAGUUGUAACCUCUCUUACUUCUGGUGUCUGCUCCCCUUGUGGCUGAAGUCAGUAUGGGAGCUUGCUGUAGGCUUCUUGAUGGGAGGGGCUGAUGCCUGCCCCCUGGUAGGUGGAGCUGAUUCAAACUCCUCUGGUGGGUGGGGCUUAGUCUCUGGAUGGGAUUAGAGGCAGCUGUGUGCCCGAGGGGUCUUUAGGCAGUGUGUUUACUGAGGGGUGGGGCUUUGAUCCCACCUGGAUUGUUGUUUGCCUUGGGGCUUCUCAGGCUGAUGGGUGGGGCCAGAUUGUCCCCAAAAGGUCACCUCCAGAGAAAGGCACAGCUGCUGAAUAUUCCUGAGAGCUUUGCUUUCAAUGACCAUCCCUCACAACAAGCCACAUUCACCCCUGUUUUCCCAGGACGGCCUCCAAGAACUGCAGUCAGGUUUGACCCAGCUUCCUAUGGAGACUUUGCUCUGCCCUGGGACCCAGUGCAUGUGAAAGUCUGCGUGCACCUUUUAAGAAUGGGGUCUCCGUUUCCCCCAGUCCUGUGGAGCUCCUGUGCACAAGCCCCACUGGCCUUCAAUGCCAGAUGCUCCAGGGACGCUUUCUUCCAGUGCCAGAUCUCCAUACAUGAGGGUUUGAUGUGGGGCUCAGAACUCACUCCUGUAGGUGAGUCUCUGUGAACCAGUUAGUUUCCAGUCUGUGGAGCUUCCCACCCCGGAGGUAUGGGGUUGUUUAUAUGGUGAAAUCACCCCCCUACCUCUUGAUGUGGCCUCUUCUUUUUCUUCUGGAGUAGGGUAUCUUUUUUAAGGUUUCCAGUCCAUUUGGGUGGAGAUUGCUCAGCCUUUAGUUGUGAAUUUUGUUGUUUUUAGGGGAGAAGUUGAGCUCCAGUCCUUCUAUUCCGCCAUCUUAACCCUCUCUCCCCUAGUCAGGUUCUUAACCAGCUGAGCCACAAUGGGAACUCUUUUUAUCUUCUCAUUCAGGCAACAUAUAUUCAUGAAGGUACCAUGUCAGGGACUGUGACAGGCUGACCAGGUCCCACCCUCUGGAGUUCAUAGCCCAGAGAGUGAGAAAGAAAACCCAAUAGGCUCUUCCCUCCCAGAGUGGCAGGGGCAGCAUGGGGGUGGGGAAUGCAAGGAGCUGAGGGGGAGAGAAGAAGGGCCUCUGUCCCUGUUUGGCAGCUGUCAGAGCAGGCUGCCUGGAGGAAGCGAUACACAGGCUGAGAUCUGAAGGACCAAUGAGAGGGCUGAGCAGGUGGAAUGAGAGGGAGGGGGUCCGGGAUGGGGGAGCAGCUUCCGGGUCUGGAGGCUGGAAGAGAAGGUGAGGAGGGCAGAGUGAGGAGCCCGGUGGGAUGCUGUGCUUGGGUCCUGGCCCUCCUCCCCGGCCUGGGAGAUGGAAAUAACUGAUCCCUCCUCUGGCCACCGUCCUGGCUGCUGACAGUCUCUCUCCUGGUGCCGAUGGCCUCGGGCCUGGGGGAGGCUCUGGUGUGGAGCCUGGGGCGUCAGAAGCCGGUGGCCAGAGAGGGCCCUGGCUCUGGGACUGAAAUCCCUGGGGUGUCCUGGAGGCCACCUCGGCCAGAGCAUCUGCAGCCUCUGGACAGGGCUGGGCCCUGCAGAGUCUGGAAAAAAACACAGCACGCCUGGAAGGAUGAAGGCGGCUGGAAAUCUUGACAGGUUUCUGGGAUGUACAUUUGAGAACCCAGAGAUGACACAUGUCUUGCCUAAUUUCAGGACGGUGGAGGCGGAAGGGAGAGGCCAGCCGGGCAUGCCCGUGGGUCCAGGCGGGGGCAAGGGCCUCUGGCUGGCCGCCCCACCCCCCACCCCCCACCCCGUAGUUUCCGGCGUAAAAGAGCGAUGAGGUUUAUUUCCCUUCUGACAACGCGUCGAUUCGACUUGCCUACUCCGCUGGGCACCCCGGUGCAGAUGAAAGAGGGCGAUGCAUCAAACAUUAACGAGCUCUGCCCGGGAGGGGGUGUGCGGGCUGCAGGCGCCCUGCCCGGGGAUCUGCCAGCCUCGCAGCCUCGCUGGCUGAGGACCAGACCGCGCAGGCGCAGACGCGGCCUGGAAAGCAGAGCGGGGUGGGGGCGGGGGCAGAGGCCCUCUCCGUGCACACUCACCCCCACCCACACAUGAAAGCCGGCCCCGGGGGUGCCAGAAACUGACCACAGAUCAAUAUGCCUCCCUGAUCAGCUGCCUCGUGCCAGUGAGGUAAGCGUGUCCUGAUGCGCGCAGGUCCUUUUCUGCGCAGGAAGGAGCGGCUUUGACAUCUUCCCCCUCCUCGGCAUCUCCCUGAAGCUCCAGGCCUGCUGCGUGCCAGGCGGCGGGGAGGGGGGUAAGCGUCUAUUUCAUCCUCCACAGCCUUCAGGGAGCUGCCAGCAGUUCGGACUGGACGUGGUGAUGCCUGCUGACCCUGGGCGUGAUGCUGGGUCAGCUCCGAGGGUCCCCGCUGCGGUCAGCCGUGCAGCCCACGCGUCUCCUAGGGGCACCUCUGUGGCCAGGCGUCAGGAGGGCUCAGAUCCGCUUCCCUGUGCCGCAGUGCUUCUGAAGGCCCCUCCACGAGCCUGUCUGCUGCGCCAGCUCCGGGAAGGAGGAUUUGACGGGGGAGGCCACCCUCAUGUGUGGGUUGGGUGCUGUGAGAGCAUAUGGGGAGGGGGCCACUGGCCAUAAAUCUUGGAGGGGGGCAGCAGCCAACGGGGGUGGGGUGGGGGUGGCCUGGCAGGCAGGGCUGGGAGAAAGAACAGCCAGGCGAUGGGCCCAGAGCAGAUCUCAGCUUUGCAGUAUUUGACCGAGAGCUGUCAGGCGGAGCGCCUUCAAAAGCCUGGGAAGGAGUUGCCAGCAUCUGGCAGGUACCACGCGGCUUUAAGGCCAGGAGGUCAGGGGCGGGAGGGCGGGAGGUCUGAGCCAGGUCCCAGCCCUCUGACCUUCGACCUUCGUCAGGCUGGAGCUGGGAGGUCAGAGGAUUCUGACGGAUUCCCUGGGGAGCCGUUCACAGUCUCAGUAGGAGCGUAGAUCUUCCUAACUGGGCGUGUGGCCCAGGCGACCCGAGACUGGGUUUCCCUAUUGCGGGAUUGUGUUGGGUAAAGAAUCACGGUGCCUCCUGGGUGCCAGGCCUUCUGCUUGUCUCCUCUCAUGCCAUCAUCAUGUCCGUGAGCUCCCUGAGCCCCGAGACCAGGAAUCUGGAACGGGCCUGUCUAGCUCUGCCCAUGACACCACGUGGUUCUCUUGUGCGUGUGACCACGCCCAGCUCUGCACUUUGCACCCAGUAGGUGCCCAGAGCUGUUAGUGUGAACCCGCCCCCUCCUUCCCUCCUCGAAGCUUCUCUUUCCUCCACCUUCUGGACACACUCAGUUCAGCACACACCUGUUGAAGCCUCACCUGUGCAUCUGGCUGUGCCCUCCUCUGCAGGGCAGCCCUGCCCUGUGGCCGCAUUUUCCACCCCCAGGGUGUGGCCACGUGGUGAGUUCUUGCUAACACAACGUGAGUGGAAGUGACACGUGCCCUUAGCUAAUGUGGUUAAAAAAUGGGUGUUCUGGGAGCAGGGAAGGGAGCCGUUCGGUGGGGAGUGUGAGUUCUGCAAGGUGAAAACAUUCUAGAGACCUGCUGUAUAGUGAUGUGCAUGCAGUCAGCCCUCUCGGACUGUGCACCUGAGAACGGUCCCCAUGGUACAUUUUAUUCUGUGUAUUUUUACCAUAAUGAGAACAAACCCCCCAAACCGGAUGUGCAGUCUCCGUAGACAAGACUCCAAGGGUGGAUGGAUGGAGGUUGGGUCCCUGAAUGAGCCUGUGGAAGGGCGCCUGGCCAGGAGCAUCAACGUGAGUGUGACAUGAGUUAGACAUUCAUUGCUCCUGUUUAGGCCACCGAGAUCCUGGGCUCAUCUGUGACAGCAGUUCGCAUUGCCUUGACUAAUCAAGCUUCGGAGGUGAAGACCAAAGGCCCCCUGCCCUCGGGAGUUUGCAGGACACGGGGAGAUGGCAAACGUAGAGGCUGUAACCCAAGCAACCAUGCGGACCAGAGGCCUCAGCCGCAGGGAUGGGAAGUGGAAUCCAUCUGUCCUCCCAGGGAGCACAGGUGCAGCACAGGGCAGGAAAGAAGAUGAAGAAGGCUUUAGACUGAAAGAACUGUCUCGAUCGCAGCCCGCCUUCUUCCCAGACCCCUUCUUCCCCCAGUGCCCCAGGCUGGGGCAACAGCCCCCCCCCCCCACCGCACAUGCCCGAAACCUGAAGUCAACCCUGCCCCUCCGCCCUCCCCACACCCACACCCAGGGACAUGGCCUGCGGAUGCCAACCCGGAAGCGCUCUCGGAGCCUGUUGCGUCCUUUCCUUCCCCCAGCAGCCCACCCCUGGGCUGCGGAAAUCUCUGAACUGGUCACCCACAUCCAGUCUUUCCUUUCUCCCCGGUCCCCAGGGGAAGGUCCUGAAACCCACGCAGGCCUGGCCAUCACGCUGGCGCUGGAAAACUUCCCUUGACCCCUAGUGUCUGCCAGACAAAUUGUAAUAUUCCUGGGUGUCCCAGGUGUCCCAGGCCCAUGAGCGACCCUCUGUGUUUUCACUUGUUGCUCUUCCUGCCGGGAUGCCCUGCCCUCUCCGUCUUUGUGUCUGAGAGGGUGAAUCAGCUGUCUUGGCAAUGAUUAGGGCAGCGACGCCAGAGUAGAUGACCUCUUUGCGUGUGAGCAACGUGGCAGCAUAUGCCGUUUGGUAAGGGGUUUGCUAGGUGAGUACGUGUGAGUAUGUGUGAUGUAUACACCUUUCCACAUCCAGCCUGGCUCCUGGCAGUGUCCUGUGGCAGAACAAGCUUCCUUCUGAGCCCCGAUUAGGCUGCAGCCCCUGAAAGGGGCCCCCAUUCCUCCUUGAAUGUCUAACCUGCAAGCUGGGCCCGUGCCUGAGCCCUGGCUUACUGCAGGACAUCUAGUCGCACCAGUGGCACCACCCAGCGUGAGCCUUUGAGAAACACGUUCCUAAGCACAGCUUCGUGGACCUGCUGGGCUGGCAGGUGCGGGAAUUUGAGCGAUUGCAAUUUGCACAGGUCGACCCUCAGGCAAGCACGCCACCAAUUAUUUCUUGGUGAGCAGCUGCAUCAGUCUUUUGUAGCAUAAUGACAGGGAGUUCGGGAAGCGAGCUUCUGUGAUGGCUUUGGCUGGGGAGCUUUUUCAGCUGCCUCUGUCUUUGCCAGCCACUGUCACUCAUUGGGUACAGAAGAGACCUCAGCCAGCUUCCUGGGGCCUGUUUGCGGCCAAGCUGCAGCUCUUCCGGCGGGGCUGCUCCAUGCCAGGCACCUGGCCUCAUCUCAUCCUCACCACAGCACUGAGAGGUAGAUGCUUUCACCCCGGGAAAGACGGGGACCUUAAAAAUGAGCAAGGGGACCUCCCAGGGGCUCGUGGCAGAGCUGGAAUUUCAAACCUGUGUGUGUCUGAUUCCCAGACUCUUCCCCUUCUGCUGCUGUGUGUGUCCCUGAGGAGUCAGAGAUGAAUGCCGUUUACACCCAGUUCUUGUCUCUCCAAGUUCAUCCCCAGCCACUGUUCCGCAGACCCCCUGUGUUCUAUGUACAUCGAGCUUACGUCCAAGGAGAUGCUGUGUCCCUUAUGUCAUGUGGGCAGCCACCACGUUCUGGAGUCUUAUUCUGUGCCCGAACAUGGCAGCCUGCCACAAUGGCCAUGGACUCUUCCCCUCCCCAUACUCACACCUCCUUGCCAUACUACUUGGGGAGCCCUCUCGUUCUUACCCUAGACUUGGCCGUGAACUUGCUUUGGCGAAUGUAACAUCUGCAAAUAUGCUGCAGGUAGAAACUUGAGAAGCUUUGCCCACUGGGCUGAUCCUCUCUUGCUCUUCCUGGAGCUCUGCCUCUUUGUGAGGAAGCCCGGGCCAGCCUUCUGGAUGCUGAAAGACCCCUGGCCCAUUUGCAUCUGCUGCCUUGUUAACAUUCUGUCAACUGCCAGACGUGUGAGUGAGUCAUUCUGGAUCAUCUGGCCCCCAGCCCACCACCGGCUGGGCACAGACACACAAGAAAGAGCCCAGAGCACCGGAACCAUCCAACUGACCCACAGAAUCCUCUGCUAAAUAAACGCGUGUUGAUUUAAAAUGCU
rnacentral:lncRNA from 1 species